rnacentral:rRNA from 1 species
UACGGGGGGGGCAAGCGUUGGUCGGAAUGACUGGGCGUAAAGGGCUCGUAGGCGGCCAACUAAGUCAGACGUGAAAUCCCCAGGCUCAACCUGGGAACUGCGUCUGAUACUGGAUGGCUUGAAUUCGGGAGAGGGAUGCAGAAUUCCAGGUGUAGCGGUGAAAUGCGUAGAUAUCUGGAGGAACACCAAUGGCGAAGGCAGCACUCUGGGACGUGACUGACGCUGAGACGCGAAAGCGUGGGGAGCAAACAGG